rnacentral:rRNA from 1 species
AUGUGCAUUCUCAGCCCUUUGAAUUCUGCAGCUUCAUCCCUUGCCAGUGGUGAUCGAUACAAUGCAUGCGAUCAAAUAACCCGAGGAAAUUUAUUCAGCGCGAAUUCUCCAAAACAUCGGGCUAGCCCCUUCAGACCUCGGUCGGUGGAUCGGGAAGCAGACAUUGGAUAUUGCACGGAAGAGUGGACACAACCAGCCAGCAAGCAAGAACACAGCUACUUUUUUGAAAAUGUUGCUGGUUGUUUGCUGAAUUUUACACGUAUGUGUGUCGACCCAAUGCAAUCACAACUUGUCUACUAG